rnacentral:lncRNA from 1 species
CUGAAAAAUCAGAAAUUUGAGGUAUAUCAUACCGGAGUCCAACCAGAUUCAUAACAAACUAGCGGAUGAAGUGGAUCCAUCUGAGUACGAGUGACUAACAUGUAGGUAUUGUUUGAUUCAGAGGAUACUGGAGAUAACAACGAAUCAACCAACGAAUCGAUUACAAUUAGCCAACUGCACCCAAAUGCUAUUCGUAUAUAGAUAACCAAGUACCAGGCAAAUGAGAAUGAGAGAGAAUGGAAGGUUAUUGAAUGAAGUGAGGUUUGUUGCAUAGGAGGUGGGAGAUGAAAAUGUAGAAGUAUAUUCGUCCACAUGGCGUCCCCCCGUCACUAAACGAAACACACACCGACGCACAACAUACAUGAGCACGUGCUUGAGGAGACAUAUAUCACUCAAGUACAGCUAUUUAAUGCGACAGAGGGAGGGGGGUUGCAGCAAUUGUCCAGGCGGGGACGGGGGGGGGGGGGGGGGGGGGGACUGUAGCAGGCGUCAGCCUAUCACGCGUUACUGAUGAUUGAGAUUCGCAUACAGGUUUCAGCAGUGAGAUUGUGUUUCAGCAGUGAACACAAAAUUGUAAAAGUAGCCGAAUAUAGGAACCGCGAAUCUAUGCCAUUCCCGUGUGUGCACGUUAGUCUACGAUACGUACUUUUGUAGGCGUAGCCGCUGCAGGUUGUAACAUAAGUACCCGUUGAAUACUGUACGUCAAUAAUACCAUAGUAUCAACAGACAACGAUGAUUAACAACGGAGCAAGUACAUGUUGAACCAAACGGGUGAGAGUCUCCUGAUUUCCCUAAUUUCAUUUGUGCACAUCCAGACGCGUAUCAUGUGUAACAAACUUUUCAUUUAUAUAAUUAUGGUUAAUAGUGAAUAUGAAUAUUAAAUAAAGUUAUUUAAUUUAAAUUUAUGAGUUUAGGCAUUUAGAGCUUAGGAACCCUAAAGAUUUAGGGGAUAGGCUUUAAGGUUAGGGUUAAUCACGUUUACUUGUUAAUCACGGAGAAACUGUCCCGUCCAGCGGUCAUGACCGGUUGCGGG